rnacentral:ncRNA from 1 species
CGGCUUUACCUUAAAUAAAGGAAAAUAUUUUAAAUAAGGUGUGAGAAACUUUAUUUGGCCCCAGCAAAAGUGAACCUUUUGCUUAAAAUCAUCAAAUUGACGGGAACACCUUAAAGCUAUUUCAACCAAAUGUAUUAGGUAACUAAUAUAUGGCUCAGGUAAUGACUCGAGGUAUGGUAAUAUAGAAAUAGAUGCACGAAAGGAAAUAGGUAAUCCGCAGCCAACCACCUAAUACUAAUGGUGCUUCGCCAGAAGGCGGAUUACUAGUAAAGGUGGGCAGUUCAUCGACUAGACGAUGAUUGGUGUUAAAUCAUAAAAAUUUAAUGCUUAAGAUAUAGUCAGACCCUACUUGAAAAAGUACA